rnacentral:tRNA from 1 species
GAAAUAAAAUUAACAAAAAUAAGCUUCUAACUUAAUUUUUUAGCGAUGAAAUCUCGUUAUUAUUUCU